rnacentral:rRNA from 1 species
UACAGAGGGUGCGAGCGUUAAUCGGAAUUACUGGGCGUAAAGCGUGCGUAGACGGCUAUCUAAGUCGGGUGUGAAAUCUCGGGGCUUAACUCCGAAACUGCAUUCGAUACUGCGGUGCUUGAGGACUGGAGAGGAGACUGGAAUUUACGGUGUAGCAGUGAAAUGCGUAGAGAUCGUAAGGAAGACCAGUGGCGAAGGCGGGUCUCUGGACAGUUCCUGACACUGAGGCACGAAGGCCAGGGGAGCAAACGGG